GGGUUGUGAGGUUAAGUGACUAAGCGUACACGGUGGAUGCCUAGGCAGUCAGAGGCGAUGAAGGGCGUGCUAAUCUGCGAAAAGCGUCGGUAAGGUGAUAUGAACCGUUACAACCGGCGAUACCCGAAUGGGGAAACCCAGUGUGUUUCGACACACUAUCAUGUCAUGAAUACAUAGUGGCAUGAGGCGAACCGGGGGAACUGAAACAUCUAAGUACCCCGAGGAAAAGAAAUCAACCGAGAUUCCCCCAGUAGCGGCGAGCGAACGGGGAGGAGCCCAGAACCUGAAUCGGCUUGUGUGUUAGUGGAAGCGUCUGGAAAGUCGCGCAGCAAAGGGUGAUAGCCCCGUACACUAAAAUGCACAGGUCGUGAGUUCGAUGAGUAGGGCGGGACACGUGACAUCCUGUCUGAAUAUGGGGGGACCAUCCUCCAAGGCUAAAUACUCCUGACUGACCGAUAGUGAACCAGUACCGUGAGGGAAAGGCGAAAAGAACCCCGGCGAGGGGAGUGAAAUAGAACCUGAAACCGUGUACGUACAAGCAGUGGGAGCACCUUCGUGGUGUGACUGCGUACCUUUUGUAUAAUGGGUCAGCGACUUAUAUUUUGUAGCAAGGUUAACCGUAUAGGGGAGCCGUAGGGAAACCGAGUCUUAACUGGGCGAAUAGUUGCAAGGUAUAGACCCGAAACCCGGUGAUCUAGCCAUGGGCAGGUUGAAGGUUGGGUAACACUAACUGGAGGACCGAACCGACUAAUGUUGAAAAAUUAGCGGAUGACUUGUGGCUGGGGGUGAAAGGCCAAUCAAACCGGGAGAUAGCUGGUUCUCCCCGAAAGCUAUUUAGGUAGCGCCUCGUGAACUCAUCUUCGGGGGUAGAGCACUGUUUCGGCUAGGGGGCCAUCCCGGCUUACCAAACCGAUGCAAACUCCGAAUACCGAAGAAUGUUAUCACGGGAGACACACGGCGGGUGCUAACGUCCGUCGUGAAGAGGGAAACAACCCAGACCGCCAGCUAAGGUCCCAAAGUCAUGGUUAAGUGGGAAACGAUGUGGGAAGGCACAGACAGCCAGGAUGUUGGCUUAGAAGCAGCCAUCAUUUAAAGAAAGCGUAAUAGCUCACUGGUCGAGUCGGCCUGCGCGGAAGAUGUAACGGGGCUAAACCAUGCACCGAAGCUGCGGCAGCGACGCUUAGGCGUUGUUGGGUAGGGGAGCGUUCUGUAAGCCGUUGAAGGUGGCCUGUGAGGGUUGCUGGAGGUAUCAGAAGUGCGAAUGCUGACAUAAGUAACGAUAAAGCGGGUGAAAAGCCCGCUCGCCGGAAGACCAAGGGUUCCUGUCCAACGUUAAUCGGGGCAGGGUGAGUCGACCCCUAAGGCGAGGCUGAAAAGCGUAGUCGAUGGGAAACAGGUUAAUAUUCCUGUACUUGGUGUUACUGCGAAGGGGGGACGGAGAAGGCUAGGCUAGCCGGGCGACGGUUGUCCCGGUUUAAGCGUGUAGGGGGUGUGACCUGGUAAAUCCGGUUGCAUACUAACCCUGAGGCGUGAUGACGAUGCACUACGGUGCAGAAGUAGUUGAUGCCCUGCUUCCAGGAAAAUCCUCUAAGCUCCAGGUAACAUUNNNNNNNNNNNNNNNNNNNNNNNNNNNNNNNNNNNNNNNNNNNNNNNNNNNNNNNNNNNNNNNNNNNNNNNNNNNNNNNNNNNNNNNNNNNNNNAAGCCAGUCGAAGAUACCAGCUGGCUGCAACUGUUUAAUAAAAACACAGCACUGUGCAAACACGAAAGUGGACGUAUACGGUGUGACGCCUGCCCGGUGCUGGAAGGUUAAUUGAUGGGGUCAGCCGCAAGGCGAAGCUCUUGAUCGAAGCCCCAGUAAACGGCGGCCGUAACUAUAACGGUCCUAAGGUAGCGAAAUUCCUUGUCGGGUAAGUUCCGACCUGCACGAAUGGCGUAAUGAUGGCCAGGCUGUCUCCACCCGAGACUCAGUGAAAUUGAACUCGCUGUGAAGAUGCAGUGUACCCGCGGCAAGACGGAAAGACCCCGUGAACCUUUACUAUAGCUUGACACUGAACAUUGAGCCUUGAUGUGUAGGAUAGGUGGGAGGCUUUGAAGCGUGGACGCCAGUCUGCGUGGAGCCAUCCUUGAAAUACCACCCUUUAAUGUUUGAUGUUCUAACUCUGCCCCAUAAUCUGGGGUGAGGACAGUGUCUGGUGGGUAGUUUGACUGGGGCGGUCUCCUCCCAAAGAGUAACGGAGGAGCACGAAGGUUAGCUAAUCACGGUCGGACAUCGUGAGGUUAGUGCAAAGGCAUAAGCUAGCUUGACUGCGAGAGUGACGGCUCGAGCAGGUACGAAAGUAGGUCUUAGUGAUCCGGUGGUUCUGAAUGGAAGGGCCAUCGCUCAACGGAUAAAAGGUACUCCGGGGAUAACAGGCUGAUACCGCCCAAGAGUUCAUAUCGACGGCGGUGUUUGGCACCUCGAUGUCGGCUCAUCACAUCCUGGGGCUGAAGUAGGUCCCAAGGGUAUGGCUGUUCGCCAUUUAAAGUGGUACGCGAGCUGGGUUUAGAACGUCGUGAGACAGUUCGGUCCCUAUCUGCCGUGGGCGUUGGAAGAUUGAGAGGGGUUGCUCCUAGUACGAGAGGACCGGAGUGAACGCACCACUGGUGUUCGGGUUGUCAUGCCAAUGGCAUUGCCCGGUAGCUAAGUGCGGAAAAGAUAAGCGCUGAAAGCAUCUAAGCGCGAAACUUGCCUCAAGAUGAGUCUUCCCUGGGCCUUUAAGGCCCCUGAAGGAACGUUUAAGACUAAGACGUUGAUAGGCUGGGUGUGUAAGUGCAGCGAUGCAUUGAGCUAACCAGUACUAAUGAUCCGUGAGGCUUAACCUUACAACACCGAAGGUGUUUUAG
rnacentral:rRNA from 1 species